rnacentral:lncRNA from 1 species
CUCUGGUUUCCUUGUUCUUUCAAUGCUCUGACCCCUUCAGGCCUGCAACCCUGCAUGAGCUCUUAACGGAGCUGACUCUGGCCUUAGAUGUGUCCUAUGGCCACUUCUCUGAUCCUGGCUACCACCAUUCCUCAACUGAUAAUCAACCAAUCCCUGCCUGGCCUCCUUCCCCCUGGCUUCCUUCCUUCUAGUGCAGCCUGAGUUCAAGUCCUAACAGUCAAAGCUGCCUGGCUCCUGGCCGCCCAGAGAGUUCAAGUCGCAGUCCAAGCCCCAGGCUCUUCAGGCCUAUUCUUGCUGGUUCCCUGCACUUGGGAGCUGUCACAUCCAGACUGACCUCUCUCUCCCCUGCUUCCAGAGUUCCCUCCUUUUCAAAGCAAUUUCUCUACUCUGAAAACUCCUAUUCACCCUUCAGUACCCAGCCCCAGUGCCUACUGGAAGUUUGCCUUAACAGCCAAGUAACCAGCACUGAAAUUGCUUUCUAGAUUCCCCUUGGAGAUUUUUACCAUUUUAAUCCCAGUUGUCCUUUCUGGGCCUCUUGGCUGAGUUCCAGCCCUUGUAACCCUGGCCUCCUGGUCCCCAGGUGAUCCAUAUGCAGUGCAACCUGGAAAGGAGUGAGGACAAGGCACGCUGGCAUGUGAGCAGGGCCCUGGGCUGGGCUGGGAAAGGAAGGGCCUGCCAACUUUGACUUGGCACCGACCACACCCUCCUGCCCCAGCUCACAUUGCUUCUGGUGCUGGAGGACAGACUGCACAGGCAGCUGACCUACGACCUGCUUCCAAGUAGGCGACUGGGAACCCCAGGCUGCAGGCCUGAAGGCGGGUGGUGGGCAGUGGUUGGUGCCACAGCCUUAUGAGUUCCCAUGUGCCCUUGUUGCAGCGGACAGCGCCCAGGACCUCGCGGCUGAGCUGGUGCACUACGGCUUCCUGCGAGAGGUUGGCAGGGUGGGGCGUGGUGUGGCUUGCUGGGAGGGUGCAGGGCUGCUCUGCCGCGGGUCCCCCAUGCCUCCCUCCCCUCUUUAGGAUGACCGGUUGAAGCUGGCCAUCUUCCUGGAGACCACCUUCCUCAAGUACCGUGGGGCCCAGGCCUGAUCCUUCCAGCCCUGGAAGCCCUGCCCUGGCUCUGCUGGCUCAGGGCUGUCCCUGUGGGGAAGAGUCCAGCACUUCUUGGAGUUGCCUUUUGCCUG